AAUGAACGCUGGCGGCAUGGAUUAGGCAUGCAAGUCGAACGGGCCGUUUUUCGCAAGAGGGACGGUCAGUGGCGAAAGGGUGCGUAACACGUGGGCAACCUGCCCCCGAGUCCGGGAUAGCCCGCGGAAACGCGGAUUAAUACCGGAUGUGGUUCCCUGGCUCAUGACAGGGCUACUGAAGAUUUAUCGCUCGGGGAUGGGCUCGCGGCCCAUAAGCUAGUUGGCGGGGUAAUGGCCACCAAGGCUAUGACGGGUAGGUGGUCUGAGAGGAUGGUCACCCACACUGGGACUGAGACACUGCCCAGACUCCUACGGGAGGCUGCAGUCGAGAAUCUUCCGCAAUGGGCGCAAGCCUGACGGAGCGAUGCCGCGUGAGGGAUGAAGGCCUUCGGGUUGUAAACCUCUGUCAGAGGGGACGAAGAAUGUGACGGUACCCUCAGAGGAAGCCACGGCUAACUACGUGCCAGCAGCCGCCGUAAUAC
rnacentral:rRNA from 1 species